rnacentral:rRNA from 1 species
GACGAACGCUGGCGGCGUGCUUAAAAACAUGCAAGUCGAACGGACUUCUCAUGAAGCUUGCGAUUGAGAAGUUAGUGGCGGACGGGUGAGUAACGCGUGGGCAACCUGCCCCUGAGCCCGGGAUAACAGUUCGAAAGGACUGCUAAGACCGGAUAUACUUGCGGUGAAGCAUUUCACUGCAAGGAAAGGGAACGCUCAGGGAUGGGCCCGCGUCCCAUUAGCUAGUUGGUGAGGUAACGGCCUACCAAGGCGACGAUGGGUAGCCGGCCUGAGAGGGUGAACGGCCACACUGGGACUGAGACACGGCCCAGACUCCUACGGGAGGCAGCAGUUGGGAAUCUUCGGCAAUGGGCGCAAGCCUGACCGAGCAACGCCGCGUGAGUGAUGAAGGUUUUCGGAUUGUAAAGCUCUGUCUUCCGGGACGAUAAUGACGGUACCGGAGGAGGAAGCCACGGCUAACUACGUG